AUAAUUCAAAUUCACAACAGAUAUGGAAUUAAGUUCCUUUUAAAAAGUUUGUGGAGUUUUCAAUCCAAUGAGAAACAAAUACUGCUUGUAAUGAAAACUAAAAUUCCAACUAGUGAUGGAAAAGUGUAGUGUUGAGUCCAUUUCCUCUCCUUUAUCAAGCUUUGUGACUCCCUUUAGUCUUUUGAUUGGUAAAUGGGUAUGGAAAUCAGACAUGAGUAACAUAGCUGAGUGAGUUAGAGCAUGGUUGCAUGCCAAAAAAAAAAAAAUGUCAUGCUCCUGUUGGCAGUUGAAUUGUUAGUUUUCUACAUAUAUGAUUUGUGUAGUGCAUUGCUCAUGUGCAUAGGCAAGGUAAGUACAACUUGAAAUAUUAUACAUGUCUUAGUUUUAUUUUUCCCAUUUGGAGCGAACUUUGGAUUUAUCCCGGUAAAGCGAAAUGAAUCAUUCUUUUUCAUAAGUAAGAAAAGUUAUUGGUGGUGCAUUUUGAGAUCAACGUGCUCUUCCUUUUUUUAAUGUGUUAUCCUCAGUUUCAUAGUAGACUUGCAUAUUUAGUGUUGGCCUCAGACAAUCAUUGAAAACCUUCUUUACUAUUCUUUUUUUCACUGCGUUUCUGACAUUGAUAAAGGGGACUGAAUCUUUUAGCUAACUUGCUUCUGACAGAUUAAAAGAAUGUGGAACUAAACACAAUGAUUAGUUGCCUGACUAAUUUUAAUCUCAGACAAAAUUAGUUUUUUUCCUUCAUUCAAUGUUACGACCCAAAGCUACUGUUUUCCAUCUUCUGUUAUCUUUCAAAACCAUAUUUUUAAAAAUGUGCUUGCUGCCUUUUCUUAGUACCAAAACUACUGUUUUGCCAGACAAAAAAACUAGUGUAUGUUGAAGAUUGAUGAGCAACAGAUGCCCCUUGCUUUGACAGAACUCGAUAAUGUAACAGUCGACUUUUUUUAGUGGGUGAAGGCCACCAUUCAGUUGCCAAACAUCAUGACUUUGUUGAGACUGAAACUCGAUAAUUUUAGCAUUAACAUUAUCUGUUGAUUGUGUGGUCAGUAAUCCAAAGAUGUAAAGGCAAGGAUCUUAAGUUGUGUUUGUAUUUGAUUAUAUAUCCACAGAUUCCGAAACAGAAAUACGAAGAUGAUAUUGCAUUAAUGUAAUCUUUUUGCAAAGAAUUAGUAAGAGACUUCUAGUUGUGCCAUCUUUUUUUAUUGUGUUUCGUGUAUCUUACUAUUGGAGAUCAAGAACAUCUGGAAUCGUAUCUUUAGUUGAUUACUCGAUAAUAUUGCAUUAGAGUCAUAAAGCCACCGAGCUUCCUAACAAAAAGUAACGCUGAACUAUCAUUCGUUGUCUGAGCCAUGAACAGAAGGGAAGACAGAUUUCAUUGACAGAAUACCGAGCAAAUUGGGAUUCUUUCUGCUGUUAGAAAAGUAGAUAAAAUCACAAAGAGACUGAAGCAUCUGCAUUAGGGUUGGCAGAUGCAAUUAGGGAUCCAUCGCAUGUUUCCUUUUGGCAGGGGACCUUGCCAUGCCAAUUGGGCGGUCACCAAAUUUUUGGGUGUUGUAUAUCAUACUAGAUAAAGUGCUUGCUUUCUGUAAACCUUACGCUCUAGAACUAGCAAAGCAAUUAAGUAAUUAAAGACUUUCCAACGCCUAAUUCAAUUGUUUAGCUUGAGCAUAUGACUGA